AUUGAACGCUGGCGGCGGGCCUAACACAUGCAAGUCGAGCGGAUGAAGGGAGCUUGCUCCUGGAUUCAGCGGCGGACGGGUGAGUAAUGCCUAGGAAUCUGCCUGGUAGUGGGGGAUAACGUCCGGAAACGGGCGCUAAUACCGCAUACGUCCUGAGGGAGAAAGUGGGGGAUCUUCGGACCUCACGCUAUCAGAUGAGCCUAGGUCGGAUUAGCUAGUUGGUGGGGUAAAGGCCUACCAAGGCGACGAUCCGUAACUGGUCUGAGAGGAUGAUCAGUCACACUGGAACUGAGACACGGUCCAGACUCCUACGGGAGGCAGCAGUCGGGAAUAUUGGACAAUGGGCGAAAGCCUGAUCCAGCCAUGCCGCGUGUGUGAAGAAGGUCUUCGGAUUGUAAAGCACUUUAAGUUGGGAGGAAGGGCAGUAAGUUAAUACCUUGCUGUUUUGACGUUACCAACAGAAUAAGCACCGGCUAACUUCGUG
rnacentral:rRNA from 1 species